CCUACGGGUGGCAGCAGUGGGGACUAUUGGGCAAUUGAGGAAACUCUGACCCAGCAACGCCGCGUUAAUGAUGAAGGUCUUCGGAUUGUAACGUUCUUUUCUAAGGUAAGAAGAAAGUGACGGUACCUUCUGAAUAAGCCUCGGCUAACUACGUGCCAGCAGCCGCGGUAAUACGUAGGAGGCAAGCGUUAUCCGGAAUGACUGGGCGUAAAGGUUGCGUAGGUGGUUUGACAAGGUGGUAGCGUAACUCCGAGGCUUAACCUCGGCACUACUACCAAAACUGUUGGACUCGAGUGCAGGAGGGGCAAAUGGAAUUCCUAGUGUAGCGGUGGAAUGCGUAGAUAUUAGGAGGAACACCAGUGGCGAAGGCGAUUUGCUGGACUGUAACUGACACUGAGGCACGAAAGCGUGGGGAGCAAACAGGAUUAGAUACCCCUGUAGUC
rnacentral:rRNA from 1 species